ensembl:misc_RNA Metazoa_SRP Metazoan signal recognition particle RNA
GCCAGGCGCAGCAGCACAUGCCUGUAGUCCCAGCUACUUGGGAGGCUGAGGUGGGAGAAUCGCUUGAGCCCAGGAGUUCUGGGCUAUAGUGUGCUAUGCCGAUCGGGUGCGCACUAAGUUCGGCAUCAAAAUGGUGACCUCCCAGGAGCAGGGGACCACCAGGUUGCCUAAGGAGGGGUGAGCCAGCCCAGGUCAGAAAUGGAGUAGGUCAAAACUCCCGUGCUGAUCAGUAGUGAGAUCAUGCCUGUGAAUAGCCACUGCACUCCAACCUGGGUAACACAGUGAGACCCCAUCUCUU